UACGGAGGGCUCAAGCGUUGUUCGGAUUCAUUGGGCGUAAAGGGUGCGUAGGUGGCGCCGUAAGUCGGGUGUGAAAUUUCGGAGCUUAACUCCGAAACUGCAUUCGAUACUGCGGUGCUUGAGGACUGGAGAGGAGACUGGAAUUCCUGGUGUAGCGGUGAAAUGCGCAGAUAUCAGGAGGAACACCGGUGGCGAAGGCGGGUCUCUGGGCAACAACUGACGCUGAGGAGCGAAAGCGCGGGGAGCGAACAGG
rnacentral:rRNA from 1 species